rnacentral:rRNA from 1 species
CAACCCUGAUCCAGCCAUGCCGCGUGCGUGAAGAAGCCCUUAGGGUUGUAAAGCGCUUUCACUGGUGAAGAUGAUGACGGUAGCCAGAGAAGAAGCCCCGGCUAACUCCGUGCCAGCAGCCGCGGUAAUACGGAGGGGGCAAGCGUUGUUCGGAAUUACUGGGCGUAAAGGGCGCGUAGGCGGAAUAUCAAGUUAGGGGUGAAAGGCCUGGGCUCAACCUAGGAACGGCCUCUAAAACUGAUAAUCUAGAGUCCGGAAGAGGAUGGCGGAAUUCCUAGUGUAGAGGUGAAAUUCGUAGAUAUUAGGAAGAACACCGGUGGCGAAGGCGGCCAUCUGGUCCGGUACUGACGCUGAGGCGCGAAAGCGUGGGGAGCAAACAGGAUUAGAUACCCUGGUAGUCCACGCCGUAAACGAUGUGUGCUAGCCGUUGGGGCACUUAGUGUCUCGGUGGCGCAGCUAACGCGUUAAGCACACCGCCUG